CGGGGGGGGCAAGCGUUGUUCGGAAUUACUGGGCGUAAAGGGUUCGUAGGUGGCCAACUAAGUCAGACGUGAAAUCCCUCAGCUUAACUGGGGAACUGCGUCUGAUACUGGUGUGGCUUGAGUGCAGGAGAGGAACGCGGAAUUCCAGGUGUAGCGGUGAAAUGCGUAGAUAUCUGGAGGAACACCGGUGGCGAAGGCGGCGUUCUGGACUGCAACUGACACUGAGGAACGAAAGCCAGGGGGAGCAAACGGGAUUAGAUACCCCGGUAGUCCUGGCCCUAAACGAUGAAUGCUUGGUGUGGCGGGUAUCGAUCCCUGCCGUGCCGAAGUUAACGCGAUAAGCAUUCCGCCUGGGGAUACGGUCGCAAGGCUG
rnacentral:rRNA from 1 species